GAAAUAUUUAAAUACAUCCAAGUUUAGAAAAUUAGAAUCGUUCAAAGCGCUUAUAUGUAGCAUUCAUGUAAGAUACGGUGAGAAAAGAUCUAAACACGUUUUGUAUUCUUAUGUUUGUCUUCUAGUUUUCUUUGCUCUAUGCUACGAUAUUGUGAUUUCCAAACCAAAGGCCUUCGGGUCUCCUGUGUCCUGUCAAAAGAAGUGAAAUUUGUAUGGCUAUGACAUCUUUUUGUUAAUUAUAAUACAUUCUUUUUAAAAUAAUCAUAUAGUCUAGUAUUUGUGAUUACAUUAAUGGGUGCAUUAACCAGCAGACAAAAUGCAGGCGUCGAAGAAGUGGAUAUUGUGUCAAAUCAUGCCUACAAGUAUCCACCAAAAUCAGGCAAUUAUUUUGGUAAUCACUUCAUAAUGGGAGGUGAGAAGUUUGACACACCUCAACCAGAAGCGUAUCUCUUUGGAGAGAAUGCUGAUUUAAAUUUCCUUGGUAGCAGGCCUACUCCGUUUCCAUACCCACCGCCUCAGGCGAACGAGCCGACCAAGACGCUGAAAAGUCUGGUGAACAUUCGCAAGGAAUCGCUGCGACUGGUGCGCGCUCUGGAUGACGGCGGCCGAGGCAAGAGUGACUCGAUAAAGGCGCCCUGUUUCAACAUCGAGUUCACUUUCGACUGUGACGCGCGCACUGCCAUCACAAUCUACUACUUUGCACAAGAGGAGAUCACGCCCAACGGUGUUGUGUACGUGACCAAGGAGCCUUCACACAGCUCAGAGACGUUCUACUACAAGCGAGGCACCGGUCAGCUGUUCAGCCAGCCGUCGCAUGUGUUCGACCCGAGUCAGUACACCGACGAACAACUGUCCUACAACCCCGACAGGGACAUCAUUCCCAUCGCCAUUCACUGUGUAGCUCAGGAAGGCACUGACGAGCUGAGGCAAUCGCACACAUGUAUAGCAGUGGUGGACAGGCACUCAGAUGGCAGCUAUGUCCUCAAAACGCUCAAGCAAAAGCUGUUUGUUGAUGGCCUCUGCUAUCUCCUACAGGAAAUAUACGGCAUUGAGAACAAGACCAACGAACUCAUCAAGGGUGGAAGUGAUGACGACACACAGGACAACGGCUCGGAGUGUGUGAUCUGCAUCUGCGAGGUGCGCGAUACACUCAUCCUGCCCUGCCGCCAUCUUUGUCUGUGCAACUCGUGCGCUGACAGUCUGCGCUACCAGGCCAGCAGCUGUCCCAUUUGCAGGGCGCCCUUCAGGGCACUGCUGCAGAUAAGGGCACUGCAAAAGGCUACCCAGGGCCAGGGCCCACCUCAGCAGCUGCCCACACCUGAGGGCAGCUGUGAGAACAUACCGGCCGGCUAUGAGGCAGUGUCGCUGAUAGAGGCCUUGAAUGGACCCUGCCAGCGCACCACUGUGGAACAGCCCACCGACGCAUCAGACCACGAUGCUUCGAUGCAUCAGGCCGCUGAUGUACUCAACAGAUCGAGUUUGGAGCGUAUUCCGAAAGUGAAACUGGUCGGCAGUCCAGAAGUUUAUGAGUCAGAAGGUGCUUGCCCUACACCCGAAUUUCGAAUGUCAGUUCUGCUGUCGCGCGGCGCGGAUAGCGCAGGCUCGGGCAAAGCGCGCAACAAUGACGUCAUCGUUCAGAGCGCCAAGGCGAGUUCGCCGCUACUGGUGACGUCAUCGCAGGGAGGCCGCGGCGUGGGUGGGGGCAGAGUGACGUCAUCGCUAGCUGGCAAACCCACCAAACAGGGCCCAAGGGAUACAGUGCGUGUUGUCAAUGAGACUAGCAACAGUCAUGAUGAGACUGAUGACGUGGACAGCGAGGCCGAGAAACUGUCGCCGCUUCUGACGUCAGUGGUGGUCGGAGUGGGGGGCACCGACGUGGGUGGAGGCAGACGGCCACCAGACGACACUGAGGAGGAGGAGGAGGAUGACACUGAGGAGGAAGUGCAACCAAGCCCCCCCACCACUGCUGCGGCUGCGGCUGCUACCUUGAUGCCACAGCAAGGAGUGGGAGGAGGAGGAGGAGGAGGAGGAGAUGGUUUGGUGGGGAUAACAGCAGCAGCAGGAGGAGGAGGGGGAGGGGAAGACUCAGACUACUAUACACCUGAGGAUCCGGCGACUACUAUUCUAAGUCCCCUGCACACUGAUAAGGGUGGAGCAAAGCAGGGUGAAGUACUGCCCGUAGUGGCUAACUAAGUACAGUAGGCCUACUUGAUAAGCACAGCUCAAGUUGGUUGAAUAGAAAUGGAUUGCCGGUGGGAGGGGCAACUAGGCCCCCCUGGGGAGGCCAGGGAGGCGUGUCUCUGCCGGGCACGCCCCUCUCUUCGGCCAGUCACCGCUCCAGUGGAGACAGCUACAGCUCCUCUGGAUCUACUCGGCUCCUGCUGGCCGACAAAAAUGCCAACACUGCUAAAUAAUUUAGCAUUAUUGAAUGCUAAAUAUUUGCAUCAACUAGUUAUUAACAUUUAGUUAUUUGCAUCAACAUUUAGUUAUUUUUAAUUUAGCAGGCUAAUGUUUGGCUCAACUGCUCUAGGACUGGGUCAUUUUGUGGCUGGCCACUAACGGUUGAACGUGAAUGCACAUACACUAUCAUCAGCGAGUGGCUUCUAACAUAAAAUGAACAACAAAUAACAAUAGAUGAAUCAUACAAUUUUAAAUUAUAGAAAAAUAAUUUAACAUAUAAUAGAGCAGCGAAGAAAAAAUAAACAACAGUUUUAUUCA